GACGAACGCUGGCGGCGUGCCUAAUACAUGCAAGUCGAACGCAGUGGGGACGGGUGAGUAACACGUGGGUAACCUCCCAUCAGAGGGGAUAACACUUGGAAACAGGUGCUAAAACGAUAUUGAUGGAUGGACCCGCGGUGCAUUAGCUAGUUGGUGAGGUAACGGCGCACCAAGGCAACGAGGCAUAGACGACCUGAGAGGGUGAUCGGCAACACUGGCACUGAGAGACGGCGCAAACGCCAACGGGAGGCAGCAGUAGGGAAUCUUCGGCAAUGGACGAAAGUCUGACCGAGCAAUGCCGCGUGGGUGAAGAAGGUUUUCGGAUCGUAAAGCUCUGUUGUUAGAGAAGCGGUAUCUAACCAGAAAGCCACGGCUAACUACGUGCCAGCAGCCGCGGUAAUAC
rnacentral:rRNA from 1 species